rnacentral:rRNA from 1 species
CGGCGAGUGAAGCGGCAACAGCUCAAAUUUGAAAGCUGGCCCCCUCGGGGUCCGCGUUGUAAUUUGUAGAGGAUGAUUCGGCGACGGCUCCCGCCUAAGUCCCUUGGAACAGGGCGUCAUAGAGGGUGAGAAUCCCGUAUGUGGUGGGCUGCCUUAGCCAUGUGAAUCUCCUUCGACGAGUCGAGUUGUUUGGGAAUGCAGCUCUAAAUGGGAGGUAAAUUUCUUCUAAAGCUAAAUACCGGCCAGAGACCGAUAGCGCACAAGUAGAGUGAUCGAAAGAUGAAAAGCACUUUGGAAAGAGAGUUAAAAAGUACGUGAAAUUGUUGAAAGGGAAGCGCUUGCAGCCAGACUUGUCCGCAGUUGCUCAGCUUGUCUCCUGACAGGCGUACUCUUCUGCGGCCAGGCCAGCAUCAGUUCGGGCGGUCGGAUAAAGACCUGGGGAAUGUAGCUCCUCUCGGGGAGUGUUAUAGCCCUGGGUGCAAUGCGGCCAGCCUGGACUGAGGAUCUCGCUUCGGCUAGGAUGCUGGCGUAAUGGCUGUAAGCGGC